GGGAUACCCAGAGGAAACUUGGCUAAUACCGGAUAACAACAGAGAAGGCAUCUUCUUGACUUGAAAGGCCCCUUCAAGGGUCACUUAAGGAUGGACCUGCGGCGCAUUAGCUAGUUGGUGAGAUAACAGCCCACCAAGGCGAGGAUGCGUAGCCGAACUGAGAGGUUGAUCGGCCACAUUGGAACUGAGACACGGUCCAAACUCCUACGGGAGGCAGCAGUAAGGAGUUUUCGGCAAUGGGGGAAACCCUGACCGAGCAACGCCGCGUGAGCGAUGACGGCCCUAUGGGGUUUAGUAAAGCUCUGUUGUAAGCCAUGAAUGGUAGCUUGAGGAAAUGCAAGCUAUUUGACGACAGCUUACCAGAAAGCCACGGCUAACUACGUGCCAGCCGCAGC
rnacentral:rRNA from 1 species